GCCCGAAUGGCUCAGUGGUAAAGCGUCUCACUAGUACACCUAUUCAAACAGCUUCGGUUAGCUAGGAUAGAUGACAAAAUGAGAAGAUCGCCAGUUCGAUUCUGGCUUUGGGCA
rfam:Colletotrichum incanum strain MAFF 238704 contig3164, whole genome shotgun sequence.